CAAUGUCAUACAGCUUCUUCACAGCCUGUUUAAUCUGGUGCUUGUUGGCUUUAACAUCCACAAUGAACACAAGUGUGUUGUUGUCUUCUAUCUUCUUCAUGGCAGACUCAGUGGUCAGCGGAAACUUGAUGAUAGCAUAGUGGUCAAGCCUGGGAGAGGCAAAAUGGGGUCACCUGGCCUGGGCCCAUUCUUUUGGAGCCCAGAGCCAGGAGAGCCUAGGUGCAUCAGACAACGAGGUACCAAUCACUUUGUUCAGACUUUGGUCGCUUUACAGUGUCAUCAUCUGCACCCUGAAAUCUAAGGGCCUGAAGCCCCAAUCCCAGGGGCAGAACGUUGUGCAUUUUCUUUCUCUUGAAGGGCUCUUACAACCUCAAGUGAUUAAAGAAUCAUCUCUGGGCCAGGUGUGCUGGCUCAUGGCUGUAUUCCCAGCACUUUGGGAGGCUGAGGCAGGCUGAUCACGAGGUCAAGAGAUCGUGACCAUCCUGGCCAACAUGGUGAAACUCCCUCUCAACUAAAAAUACAAAAAUUAGCUGGUCAUGGUGGUGCACGCCUGUAGUCCGAGCUACUCAAGAGGCUGAGGCAGGAGAAUCGGGCCAGGGGCAAAUUCCUUUUUUUUUUUUUUUUUUGAGACAGAGUCUCGCUUCGCCCAGGCUGGAGUGCAGUGACAGGAUCUCGGCUCGCUGCAAGCUCCGCCUCCUGGGUUCACACCAUUCUCCUGCUUCAGCCUGGGACUCAGUAGUGGGACUAGCGGCGCCUGCCACCACGCCCGGCUAAUUUUUUUUGUAUUUUUAGUAGAGACGGGGUUUCACCGUGUUAGCCACGAUGGUCUCAAUCUCCUGACCUCGUGAUCCGCCCGCCUCAGCCUCCCAAAGUGCUGGGAUUACAGGCUCGAGCCACCGCGCCCGGCCAGCCACGAGCAAAUUCUUAUGCAUAGGUGAGGUUAAGCCACAGCAGUGGCUUAAGCACAACUGUAACACAGCUUUCCCCAUUUAAAGUCACACUUGAUUCUAGGUCCAGCUUGGUGGCGGGAGGGGCAGGAAGACAGUCUGUGAACUGCUUUCCUAUAUGAACACAAUCCACUUUUUCUGUUAAGAAAGAGUAGAAGCAGCAAAAACCCAUUGGUACUAACUACUACCAUGGCUCUACUCAAAUCUGUGCUCCCUAAAAAGUCAGUUAUUACCGAUAGCUCAAAUACUCAAGUGCCCAACCUUCUGCCCAUUCCCCCCCAACUGUUCCUUGAGCAGUAUGAAAAUUCGGGAAAAUGAAUGGAAAGAAGCUUCUAUACACCGCAGCAGGCCAUAACUGCCAAAUACAGAUAAUGGAAUCCCCACUAUCAAUCAAGAAUCAAUCCACGUUCUCACCCUCAAGGAUUGUUCCCG
rnacentral:lncRNA from 10 species